rnacentral:rRNA from 1 species
GACGGAGGAGGCAAGCGUUGUCCGGAAUUAUUGGGCGUAAAGAGCGCGUAGGCGGUUUUCCAAGUCAUAUGUGAAAACUUUAGGCUUAACCUAAAGAUUGCAUGUGAAACUGGAUAACUAGAGUACGGCAGAGGAAAGUGGAAUUCCUGGUGUAGCGGUUAAAUGCGCAGAUAUCAGGAAGAACACCAGUGGCGAAGGCGGCUUUCUAGGCCGUUACUGACGCUGAGGCGCGAAAGCUAGGGGAGCGAACAGGAUUAGAUACCCGGGGUAGUCCCUGAG